rnacentral:rRNA from 1 species
CCUACGGGAGGCAGCAGUGGGGAAUUUUGGACAAUGGGCGCAAGCCUGAUCCAGCAAUGCCGCGUGCAGGAUGAAGGCCUUCGGGUUGUAAACUGCUUUUGUACGGAACGAAACGGUCUGCCCUAAUACGGUGGGCUAAUGACGGUACCGUAAGAAUAAGCACCGGCU